rnacentral:pre_miRNA from 1 species
CAACUACUCCCUCUGUCCCAAAUUUCUUGUCUUAGAUUUGUCUAGAUACGGAUGUAUCUAAUACUAAAAUGUGACUUCAUACAUCCGUAUCUAGACAAAUCUAAGACAAGAAUUUUGGGACGGAGGGAGCACUUU